rnacentral:rRNA from 1 species
CAGCCGCCACGGUAAUACGUAGGGUGCAAGCGUUAAUCGGAAUUACUGGGCGUAAAGCGUGCGCAGGCGGUUAUAUAAGACAGAUGUGAAAUCCCCGGGCUCAACCUGGGAACUGCAUUUGUGACUGUAUAGCUAGAGUACGGCAGAUGGGGAUGGAAUUCCGCGUGUAGCAGUGAAAUGCGUAGAUAUGCGGAGGAACACCGAUGGCGAAGGCAAUCCCCUGGGCCUGUACUGACGCUCAUGCACGAAAGCGUGGGGAGCAAACAGGAUUAGAUACCCGCGUAGUCCCUGUCUCUUAUAC